rnacentral:tRNA from 1 species
GCACCCGUAGCUCAGCUGGAUAGAGCGCUGCCCUCCGAAGGCAGAGGUCACAGGUUCAAAUCCUGUCGGGUGCACCA